UGGGGAUUAUUGCACAAUGGCACGCAAGCCUGAUGCAGCCAUGCCGCGUGUGUGAAGAAGGCCUUCGGGUUGUAAAGCUCUUUCAGUAAGGAGGAAAGGAUAAGUAAUUAAUACCUGCUAGCCGGGACGUUACUUACAGAAGAAGCACCGGCUAACUCCGUGC
rnacentral:rRNA from 1 species